CAGUGGUUGUCAAAAGUUUUCCUAUUUUUCCAUGAAAAUUACCUAUGAAUUCAUCAGUAAAUUCAAGUUCUUUUCUGUGCAACUUGUUUGCGAUGUGAUUUAUUCUUAUGUGUAUUGGAUCAAAUUCAAAAUUCUUCAAUCUAACAUGUAGGAAGGAACGGGAAAGGAAAAAUUAGCAUACAAGUAGCCUACCAUCACUACCACCAACUCUUUUAUUAAAAAUAUUCGUUUGCUGAAUGCAUCAUGCAGUUAAUACAGGUCAGUAGGUCACUACUGCGUCACUACCCCAGUGUGGACAUGUUUGUUUUUCUGAACAUGUUUUUCAACAAAUAAUUCAUUGACGUACAAGGAAAGCUAUGAAAAAUAUCAUAUCAUCUAGGCCAUGGAUAAUCUUCAGGUUUAUUGCAGCAGCUUAAGAGAAGAAUGUGAACAAAUGCAGGGCACUGGUCACAUACCAACAUGUGUUGUAUUUUUCUGAAUGUUAAACACAAGCAGCAGAUUCAACAUGACUAACUGUUUGAUGCCAAAAUUAGUUGGAACUCAACUCACUGUACAUACUCUAAAAACACAGAUAACUGGUGCUGUUGCCUUUCAGCCACCGGCAAGAAAAUGAUUCUUUUCUUCAGAAAAUUGCAAGUUAAUUUUUUGUCUUGACCCCUAACACUUUCUGUUAAUAUUAUAGAUAUUUAUGUUGAAAGAGUUACAAAGUCUGAAAAGCUAACUAAAAACUUUGUGUAUUUGUGUCAUAAGGAAAGCUGCUGGAGUAAUCUGGUGGUCAUGCUCAUUUGGUUCAUUUCGUGCCAGCUAGUGAAAGCCGAAAGGCAUGUCGAAUUCAAUUGAGCUGCUGCGUGCUGUCUCGAAGCAUAGCCUACUCUAUAUAGGAAGCCGAAAGGAAGGAUAUCUCUCGCGUGUUGGAAAAGUGAAGCCUACUUUGCUCACCUUUCCUCCGAUUUCGCAUCUUCCAAGUGGACCCAGGGGGGCCAUCUGGUGAGCGAAAUAAUGACACGCCCUCCGAAAUUUCGAAUGUUAUGGUUUGGGGGGAUUACCCUGUAAUUUAUGAACGCACCAUUAAUAUGUUGCCGUGAGGGAUUUCAUGACAAUGUUACAUUGGAACGGUGGACAUUAUUGUUUAGUGAAUGGCCCUUCGUAGCCAUUUAACAAUCAUAUCGAUAGAAACGUAAACAAAUCCGUGUUUUCAAAUAUCGCCACUAGACGAUAAAUUGGCUCCCGUGGGUCCACUUAGGGCGGAGCCAAAUAAGAGGAAGGGAACCCAAAUUGGCUUCCAAAAAAAGGCCAAUCCUUUCGGCUUCCUAUAUAGAGUAGGCUAUGCUCGAAGGAAGCAAUCCAGCUGUUGCGUUCAGUCAUUUGGAACAGGAAUCUAAUGGCUGUCAAUAGGUGGCUGUGAAUAAGUGGCUGAAAUGAUGUCCACCAGGUAGCGUGAGUGUCUUCAGAGAAGCUUAGCGGCCAUUUUGUUCCAAGACGCAGCAGAAAUAGGUUGUUGGUUGUGACGUUUCUCACGAUGAAAAUUAAAAGGUGAUUUAGCAUGUAGAAACCAAUUUGCCAAAUCAUUCACCUCAGACUUGGGAAGUGCCUGUACAUUUCCGAAAUGGCGUGCCUCGUGUGUCUCGCUGCCUGUUCUUUGGCUUACGUCUCACCCCAUUCAACAGUGAAAAGUAAAACAAAUGCUGGUGGUUACCUUGUUGCAGCCAAAUGGUGAAAGGUGUGACAAAGACAGAUUGAACCGUUGUAUACUGAAUGCAAUUGCAGUGUAAUCCAGAAGUUGCUGUGCUGUUGUAGCUGAGCUGUUCCAUCUGGGUUCCUGACUUCAAAAAUUUUGUGUUGUCGUUUUCAUCCAUGCCAUAUGAAAUUGCUCUGCCAGUGAUAUUUUGUGUUGCUGCGUUAAAAGUUUGAUCUGUUGUCUUGAGUUUUCAUUCAAUCAUGCAGUAUACGACUGAGGCAACCUGAUCGAUGUCAGGUUUGAAACAGUCGAGAACUGCUAGAUAAAACAAGCUUUCUGCACCAAACAAAUUAUAACUUGCAUAUAACUAAAUAACUUGCAUCAUGUUAUUAUCGCGGUAGAGAAAGCGACAGGCCCCCCCCCCCUGGGGGCCACAGGAAAAAUAAAUAAUCUAAAUGU